rnacentral:rRNA from 1 species
CAGUAGCCGCGGGAAUACCGAGGGUGCAAGCGUUAAUCGGAAUUACUGGGCGUAAAGCGCGCGUAGGUGGUUUGUUAAGUUGGAUGUGAAAUCCCCGGGCUCAACCUGGGAACUGCAUCCAAAACUGGCAAGCUAGAGUAUGGUAGAGGGUGGUGGAAUUUCCUGUGUAGCGGUGAAAUGCGUAGAUAUAGGAAGGAACACCAGUGGCGAAGGCGACCACCUGGACUGAUACUGACACUGAGGUGCGAAAGCGUGGGGAGCAAACAGGAUUAGAUACCCGAGUAGUCCCUGUCUCUUAUAC